CCAGGUGAAGGUCCUGGGCCGUGACAUGCCCGGGGAGCCUCGGCAGGGCAGCUCCUGGCAGAGGGUGUCCUUGGUCACAGCAGCUUCUGUGACCAAAUACUCUGGAGCAGCCCAAGAGCUGGGUGGGAGAGUGAACCCUGAGUAAAGGACCUGGGAGAGAAGAAGCAUGGCAGGCAUUGGAACAGUUGCUGCUGCGGUUGGUGUGAAGCUGCUUGAGAAACUCAUAGACGAGAUCUGCGUGCGAACAAAAAAAGAACGGGAGGCAGAGGCUACAAAGCCUCAGGAAUCUUGGAUGAAGGAGGACUUCCAGGAGCUCAUCCAACAAAUGAAAGCUAUGCGUGAAGAUCUCCAGAAAGGGCAGGAAUCCA